rnacentral:rRNA from 1 species
UACGUAGGGUGCGAGCGUUGUCCGGAAUUAUUGGGGCGUAAAGGGCUCGUAGGCGGUUUGUCACGUCGGGAGUGAAAACUCGGGGCUUAACCCCGAGCCUGCUUCCGAUACGGGCAGACUAGAGGUAUGCAGGGGAGAACGGAAUUCCUGGUGUAGCGGUGAAAUGCGCAGAUAUCAGGAGGAACACCGGUGGCGAAGGCGGUUCUCUGGGCAUUACCUGACGUGAGGAGCGAAAGUGUGGGGAGCGAACGG